UCACUGGGUGUAUGAUGAUUG
rnacentral:miRNA from 1 species